UCACUUGGCGAGGUGGGUGCAUUCUGUCGUAAGGGAGGAAUGGACUGCUGAAGUAUUUGACAUUGAACUUUUAAGGUACCCCAACAUUGAGGAGGAAAUGGUAGAAAUGUUACAAAUAGGAAUGAAUUGUGUGGUGAGGAUGCCAGAGCAGAGAUUAAAAAUGACUGAUGUAGUGAAAAUGGUGGAGGACAUUCGACGACGGAGUCCUGAAAACCCACCAUCCUCUUGAACUAAUUUAGAAAUUGCAGUUUCAACCCCAACACUAGGCUGC
rnacentral:misc_RNA from 1 species